UAAAACCCCUACUUCAUUUUUGUCCCAUCUCCUGCUUUCACAUAGCUAGCUCUAACUGGAGAACCCGCUGAGAAAUCCCACACAAAUCUAGGGCGUGAGGGUUUAUUUUGCAGGUUUUCCGUUCUGGUAGGUCACAAUCUUUUAAUUCGUUGCUCAUUUUACUUCUUUCUCCUCACCUUCAAUUGUGGUUGCAGUAGCUAUUUCAUUUUUAUGCACUAAAAAAUAUAAAAAUAUUCAAUCUUGGUUACUGAUUUCUUGCAUUUUGCUUUAAUUUUAUGGAUAGUCUUGUUGAAGAUUUGAAAUAAAACUAAGUAGAAAUAUGGGUCUAUUUAUUUAUUUUUAAUUUUGGGCUGCUAUUCAGUGUGGGUAAACAUAUUUCAUGGCUAUGAUAAUUUUUCUUGAAUCUUGUUGCUGGUAUAUAUCUAUCGAAUGUUUUAUGCUUUAUUUUAUGGAACACUACUCCCGUAAUUAUCUUGUAUUUUCAUUUUUGGUGGGUUGGAGUGUAUGGUUUGGAUUCUUAUUUAAUUUGCUGAGACGUGUAAGUGUAAGAUGUGUUUAUGCAUUUUCUAUAUUUAGCUGUGACCUUUUCGUUUGAAGACAAUUCUUUCAUAGAACAUUGGAGGUAUAUUCUUAUUUAUUUUCUAUUACAUCUCUUGAAAUAAGGUUUCAUUUAAUCUCGUGAUUUGGGUAAAUUCAAUUAAUUAACUUUCGACUUAUCUUUCUGAAAUUUUGCUUCCAUUUUCUGCUACUUAUAAUAUUUGCCAAAUUCUUGUUUUUUUUUUUAUUAAUUUUGUCAUAUGUUGAGCAAAUGGUGCUAUGAAUAGCUAGGUAUAAUGAGAUGACUCAGGUCACUGAUGCUCUGUUUUCCGAAAUGGAAUUCUCUUGGAUCAACAUAUUAUAAUUGUUACUUGUUGCAUCUAAUAUAUGUUGGUAGGGAAUUCCUUGUUCAAUUGGAGAUGGUUUAGCGUUCUAGGGACUAAUCAAUUUAUUAAUUUAAUUGAACUAUAUCUUUCCAAAUUCUUUCCUUUAACAAGUUAAAUUAUAUGAUCUUAGAUCCCAAUGAACUAUUUUCUGUUCUGAUAUUGUCAAAGCUUAACUUUUCAUGUUUUCUGCUCACAUACAUUUUAUGGAAGAAAUGGUCGAAACUCCAAUUCAAAGUAGAGAUUGUGCGACUACAUCAAUAACUUAGAAGGAUUUCGACGGAAAUUGAUUACAUACAUAGACGAAUAACAAACCUUUAUAGUUCACAUUCUGCUUUAUGUUGAGCUUUGUGGUAGAUUUGAAUAUGUCUUGGGCAUCUGAUUGGUUCGUCUUGGGCAUCUGAUUGGUUCCUGGUCUUUAUUUUGGGUUCUAUUCAUCAGUUUUAGAAACUGCCUACUUAACCAUGUGAGUUGUAUCUCAAUGUGGCAGCUAAUUGUUGGUUACCGAAAUUAGGAUUUCAUUUAUUCUCUCAGCAUAGACUGUUCUUUUUUGAGUAGCUUGACAUCAUGAAUACAUAUUUAGUCUAUAAGGGAAAGAAAAUAUUAUUGCAACAUUUCUUUUUCUUCUAUUUCUCUUUCAUUUUCUUUGUCAUGAUUUUAGCAGGUUACUUAAGAAUAGAAAGACCUUGCAACUAUCUAUGUUGCAGGCAUGUAAAAAAGUUAAGAAUAACUUUUUAAUAAUGGAAACACUAUAUGUUCCCUCUUGAUGGUCAAAAGUUCUUUUUCACAGUAGAAACUUUUUUAGAACUUCUUACACUAGUGGACAUCUAGUUUUGAGGAACUACAUCAAAAACGUUUUCUGUCUUGUUCUUAAGUCUUUGGAUUUGUUGCUAGGUAAAUUUGUAUAGUCUUCUAGUCUUGUAGACCUCUCUUCCUUUUACCCCUUCAGAUGGUCAAUUUGAUUUUCUUUGAAGUUUAAUUUCACAGUAGUAAUUUCUCUAUCCUUACUAAUUACAAUGAUAAGAAAAGUUAAGAUUUAACUUAAGAUGUGUCUUGACAUUAGUUUGUAUGUAUAUAUUAAGAAUAUAUAUCUUUUGUAAAUAUUUUACUUAAUCGUUUAUUUAUAAUCCUCGUAGGUGGAGCAAAUGUACAAAAGUAGAUGAUGAAAGCAGUGAAGACCAUACUUGAGGGCGUUGGUUCUGUUAGAGCUUCAUAUGUUCUAGGAUCUUCUAAUUUAGAGUUUUUUGCAAACUUAUCUAUGCUAACUUUGAAUUGCUAAACAAUUCAUUAUUUAGCUAUUUUGCUUUUAAGUAGAUGAUGUUAGUUGAAUAUAUUGGAAAACUAUAUUGAUUACUAGUCUCAUUUCGUG
rnacentral:lncRNA from 1 species